GUAGUUUCCGUAGGUGAACCUGCGGAAGGAUCAUUACCGAGUGAGGGCCCUCUGGGUCCAACCUCCCACCCGUGUCUAUCGUACCUUGUUGCUUCGGCGGGCCCGCCGUUUCGACGGCCGCCGGGGAGGCCUUGCGCCCCCGGGCCCGCGCCCGCCGAAGACCCCAACAUGAACGCUGUUCUGAAAGUAUGCAGUCUGAGUUGAUUAUCGUAAUCAGUUAAAACUUUCAACAACGGAUCUCUUGGUUCCGGCAUCGAUGAAGAACGCAGCGAAAUGCGAUAAGUAAUGUGAAUUGCAGAAUUCAGUGAAUCAUCGAGUCUUUGAACGCACAUUGCGCCCCCUGGUAUUCCGGGGGGCAUGCCUGUCCGAGCGUCAUUGCUGCCCUCAAGCACGGCUUGUGUGUUGGGCCCCCGUCCCCCUCUCCCGGGGGACGGGCCCGAAAGGCAGCGGCGGCACCGCGUCCGGUCCUCGAGCGUAUGGGGCUUUGUCACCUGCUCUGUAGGCCCGGCCGGCGCCAGCCGACACCCAACUUUAUUUUUCUAAGGUUGACCUCGGAUCAGGUAGG
rnacentral:rRNA from 1 species